rnacentral:rRNA from 1 species
CCUACGGGUGGCAGCAGUGGGGAAUAUUGCGCAAUGGGCGAAAGCCUGACGCAGCAACGCCGCGUGAGGGAUGAAGGUCUUCGGAUCGUAAACCUCUGUCAGCAGGGAAGAACGGUCACUGUGCUAAUCAGCAGUGAAUUGACGGUACCUGCAAAGGAAGCACCGGCUAACUCCGUGCCAGCAGCCGCGGUAAUACGGAGGGUGCGAGCGUUAAACGGAAUGGCGGGGCGUAAAGCGCGCGUAGGCGGUAUGGCAAGUCAAGGGUGAAAUCCCUGGGCUCAACGUGGGAACUGCCUUUGAAACGGGCAAUCUGGAGGGGUGGAGAGGAAGGUGGAAUUCCAGGGGUAGCGGUGAAAUCCGUAGAUAUUUGGAGGAACACCAGUGGCGAAGGCGGUUAUCUGGAAAACAACUGACGCUGAGGAGCGAAAGCGUGGGUAGCAAACAGGAUUAGAUACCCUGGUAGUC